GUAGGGAAUCUUCCACAAUGGACGAAAGUCUGAUGGAGCAACGCCGCGUGAGUGAAGAAGGGUUUCGGCUCGUAAAACUCUGUUGUUAAAGAAGAACAUAUCUGAGAGUAACUGUUCAGGUAUUGACGGUAUUUAACCAGAAAGCCACGGCUAACUACGUGCCAGCAGCCGCGGUAAUACGUAGGUGGCAAGCGUUGUCCGGAUUUAUUGGGCGUAAAGCGAGCGCAGGCGGUUUUUUAAGUCUGAUGUGAAAGCCUUCGGCUCAACCGAAGAAGUGCAUCGGAAACUGGGAAACUUGAGUGCAGAAGAGGACAGUGGAACUCCAUGUGUAGCGGUGAAAUGCGUAGAUAUAUGGAAGAACACCAGUGGCGAAGGCGGCUGUCUGGUCUGUAACUGACGCUGAGGCUCGAAAGUAUGGGUAGCAAACAGGAUUAGAAACCCUAGUAGUCC
rnacentral:rRNA from 1 species